rnacentral:rRNA from 1 species
UACGGGGGGGGGCAAGCGUUGUUCGGAAUUACUGGGCGUAAAGGGUGCGCAGGCGGUCUCGUAAGCUGGGUGUGAAAGCCCCGGGCUUAACCUGGGAAUGGCAUUCAGGACUGCGAGGCUUUGAGUGCGGCAGAGGGAGGUGGAAUUCCACGUGUAGCAGUGAAAUGCGUAGAGAUGUGGAGGAACACCGAUGGCGAAGGCAGCCUCCUGGGCCAGCACUGACGCUCAUGCACGAAAGCGUGGGGAGCAAACAGG